UACGUAGGGUGCAAGCGUUAAUCGGAAUUACUGGGCGUAAAGCGUGCGCAGGCGGUGAUGUAAGACAGUUGUGAAAUCCCCGGGCUCAACCUGGGAACUGCAUCUGUGACUGCAUUGCUGGAGUGCGGCAGAGGGGGAUGGAAUUCCGCGUGUAGCAGUGAAAUGCGUAGAUAUGCGGAGGAACACCGAUGGCGAAGGUAAUCCCCUGGGCCUGCACUGACGCUCAUGCACGAAAGCGUGGGGAGCAAACAGG
rnacentral:rRNA from 1 species